CACGUAGGAGGCAAACGUUAUCCGGAUUUACUGGGCGUAAAGCGCGUGUAGGUGGUUCUGUAAGUAGGGCGUGAAAGCUCCCGGCUCAACUGGGAGAGGCCGUUCUAAACUGCAGAGCUAGAGGAUGGUAGAGGGAGGUGGAAUUCCGGGUGUAGCGGUGGAAUGCGCAGAUAUCCGGAGGAACACCAGUGGCGAAAGCGGCCUCCUGGUCCAUUCCUGACACUCAGAUGCGAAAGCUAGGGUAGCAAACGGGAUUAGAUACCCGCGUAGUCCCU
rnacentral:rRNA from 1 species